rnacentral:tRNA from 1 species
UUCCUGGUGGUCCAGUGAUUAAGAAUCCACCUGCCAAUGCACGGGACACAGGUUCGAUUCCUGUCCAGGAAG